GUCCAAGAUCAAAGGAACGAGGGUAAGAAUCGACGAGGAAUCAAUAAGAUAUAAGAUAAGUGAAUGACAAAGCGUGAGU
rnacentral:misc_RNA from 1 species